rnacentral:pre_miRNA from 1 species
UAAAACUCAUAGGCAGUGGCUUGGUUAAGGGAAGCCACUGGAGCCGUAGUAAAAGCAAGUCUUCACCGGGCAAUUGUUUAUGGACCCGAA